rnacentral:pre_miRNA from 2 species
CUCCGGAGUUCGUGCCAGGAGUGCGUUUGCAAAACACGCGACGAGUUUGCGUUAUUGCAAAGUCGACACUGUAAAUGCACUAUCUGGUACGACACCCCGGAGC